GCCUGGUGAAUGGGCCCACUUCCGGCCUCCCCUUCCCAGAGAAGGAUUGUCUGGUUGACGGAGGGGGGCGGGCGCUCUGAAUGGAAAGACCCCCUUGCCCAGGGAAAGCAGACUCAGCUGAAUUCAAAAGUGAUACAGGGAACUCUCUCGUAAGGUGGGCUGAGGCCACGUAAGGAGGGCCUUGAGUGCCAGAGUGAGUCCUGGGGAGGUCUGGAAAGUCGGCCAGCCGGAGAGGGGGUGCUGCUUCCUUCUCCAGGGGCUUCUCUGUCGGUCCACCUACCACCUACCCCUUGCCUGGCUGCGGCUCACCAUUUCAGGAGCUGCAGCGUUGGAACUAUGCAAACGGCUUUCUGGAACUUCUCGGAACUAGCCUGCAUUGUUAAAGAAGACAAAACGGGUUCAGAGUAAUCUGCAAAGAACGGGGCACAAUUGAAGCGGCAAGCCCGGAGCGUGAACCCUCAAGCCGGAGGUGAAGCAUUCCUCCAUUGUUCACGGAAGCACGGGGAACCUCACUGCCACAGAACGGACGUGAGCGUCGAACCACAAAAUUCCGGCAGGGCCCCGAGCUUCCAGGCUUGGUGCAGACUCACGGCUGCAGCGACUGGGGUCCUACCUGGUUUUUGCUCACCUCUGGGACCGAAGUUCCUGGAAGCUGGGAUCAGGUGAUACACAUCUGGCGGCCCCCCCGGCAGACUGCAGGACAGCAGACAGCGCUCAGGGGACGCUCCCAGAGCUGCACAAGUCAGACGGGCACCUAGGGAAGAAGGAAGGACCAGGGAGAAUGGACUGGAAAGGGGACGUGAGUGGAAGGAGAGACCGUGGCACCUGCCCAGGCAGGACGAGACAGAAGAACCAAACACAUGCAAUGAGAACCAGCAAGGAAAACCAGGUCUAAGACAAAAACAACCCUGCGAGGACUCGUGGCAGAUUAGAUAUUACAGAAAAAAAGAACAUGAACCUGAAGACAUAGCGGUAGAAAUUCUCCAAAAUGCAAAAGAGGAGGAACAGAAGGCAGGUGAGGGAGCACCAAGCGCCGGCGGGUUCUGGCACAACAUCGGGCUGCCCGACACGCGUGCGGUCGGGGUCCCUGACGAACCGCACGAGAUGUCACCACUUGCCCGUUAGAAGAUCUAAAAUGGAAAAGACUCCCCAUUCUCAGUGCCGGUGAGGGUGCGGGCGACCGGCACUCCCCCACGGUGUGGGUGAGCGGGUCAGAGCGUCCGUCCGCUCUGGAAAACCUUCCGGCGGAUUCUCCUAAAGCUAAGCGUACGUGUGUCUGCCAUGUGACCCGGCCACCCCUCCCGGGAAUUUACCGAAGGGACAUGGAAGGAGACGGCCUCCUAAAGCCUUGUGCACAAACGUUUGUGGCAGCUUUAUUUGUAACAGCCCCAAACCGGAAAUGACCCGGUGCCUUCCGGCAGGGAA